rnacentral:rRNA from 1 species
AUUCCAGCUCCAAUAGCGUAUAUUAAAGUUGUUGCAGUUAAAACGCUCGUAGUCGGAUUUCGGGGCGGGCCGACCGGUCUGCCGAUGGGUAUGCACUGGCCGGCGCGUCCUUCCACCCGGAGACCGCGCCUACUCUUAACUGAGCGGGCGCGGGAGACGGGUCUUUUACUUUGAAAAAAUCAGAGUGUUUCAAGCAGGCAGUCGCUCUUGCAUGGAUUAGCAUGGGAUAAUGAAAUAGGACUCUGGUGCUAUUUUGUUGGUUUACACACUUAGAGAAUGAUUAACAGGGACAGUUGGGGGUAUUCAUAUUUACAUGUCAGAGGUGAAAUUCUUGGAUUUUGGAAAGAUGAACUACUGCGAAGGCAUUUACCAAGGAUGUUUUCAUCG